UUGAUAUCAUUUAUUGGAUUUAUUUGGCUUAGGCCAACUUCGAGGACACUGGAAACCAGGCUUAAACAAAUUUAUUGCAACUCCAUAUUUUGACCCUUCAACUGAUUUUCUCAAAAAAAUUAAUGCCCCCCCUUCUAGUAAAUUAUUUCCCCCCUCCCUCUCCAUAAAUAAGGACUGGUCCCUAACUGCAGGAAAAAUAUGUGCACUUCACAGAACAUUUAUAACAAUUCAUAAUUUAUUACUUUUGCCUCAGGCUGGGUAACCACAACAGAAGUUGCCAAAUAGGCCCUUUUAAGGUAGCUUGCGUGUCAGGCUCGAUGCUUGAAUAGAGCCUGUUAUACCCUGUGAGCAAAGUCCUCUCGUAUUUCUUCUCGGCACGGCACAGAGAAGCGAGAGAGACUCUGCAGAACUUGUGUAUAAAUUCAUUUGAGCAUGCGCGAAGGUAGCCUGCGAACAGGCUCUCAAGCUGAAUUGAGAGCCUGCAUCGAUCACUAAUGAAUUAGAA